rnacentral:rRNA from 1 species
AUUGAACGCUGGCGGCAGGCCUAACACAUGCAAGUCGAGCGGAGCGGGGGACGGGUGAGGAAUGCCUAGGAAUCUGCCUGGUAGUGGGGGAUAACGUCCGGAACCGGGCCAUAAUAACGCAUACUAGCAAGUGAGCUUAGGUCGGAUUAGCUAGUUGGUGGGGAAAAGGCUUACCAAGGCGACGAUCCGUAACUGGUCUGAGAGGAUGAUCAGUCACACUGGAACUGAGACACGGUCCAGACUCCUACGGGAGGCAGCAGUGGGGAAUAUUGGACAAUGGGCGAAAGCCUGAUCCAGCCAUGCCGCGUGUGUGAAGAAGGUCUUCGGAUUGUAAAGCACUGUAAGUUGGGAGGCGUUACCAACAGAAUAAGCACCGGCUAACUUCGUGCCAGCCGCCGCGGUAAUAC